GAUGAUCGCUGGCGGCGUGCCUAAUACAUGCAAGUCGAGCGAAUGGAUUAAGAGCUUGCUCUUAUGAAGUUAGCGGCGGACGGGUGAGUAACACGUGGGUAACCUGCCCAUAAGACUGGGAUAACUCCGGGAAACCGGGGCUAAUACCGGAUAACAUUUUGAACCGCAUGGUUCGAAAUUGAAAGGCGGCUUCGGCUGUCACUUAUGGAUGGACCCGCGUCGCAUUAGCUAGUUGGUGAGGUAACGGCUCACCAAGGCAACGAUGCGUAGCCGACCUGAGAGGGUGAUCGGCCACACUGGGACUGAGACACGGCCCAGACUCCUACGGGAGGCAGCAGUAGGGAAUCUUCCGCAAUGGACGAAAGUCUGAUGGAGCAACGCCGCGUGAGUGAUGAAGGCUUUCGGGUCGUAAAACUCUGUUGUUAGGGAAGAACAAGUGCUAGUUGAAUAAGCUGGCACCUUGACGGUACCUAACCAGAAAGCCACGGCUAACUACGUGCCAGCCGUCGCGGUAA
rnacentral:rRNA from 1 species